GAUGAACGCUGGCGGCGUGCCUAAUACAUGCAAGUCGAGCGAACAGACGAGGAGCUUGCUCCUCUGACGUUAGCGGCGGACGGGUGAGUAACACGUGGAUAACCUACCUAUAAGACUGGGAUAACUUCGGGAAACCGGAGCUAAUACCGGAUAAUAUAUUGAACCGCAUGGUUCAAUAGUGAAAGACGGUUUUGCUGUCACUUAUAGAUGGAUCCGCGCCGCAUUAGCUAGUUGGUAAGGUAACGGCUUACCAAGGCAACGAUGCGUAGCCGACCUGAGAGGGUGAUCGGCCACACUGGAACUGAGACACGGUCCAGACUCCUACGGGAGGCAGCAGUAGGGAAUCUUCCGCAAUGGGCGAAGGCCUGACGGAGCAACGCCGCGUGAGUGAUGAAGGUCUUCGGAUCUUAAAACUCUGUUAUUAGGGAAGAACAAAUGUGUAAGUAACUAUGCACGUCUUGACGGUACCUAAUCAGAAAGCCACGGCUAACUACGUG
rnacentral:rRNA from 1 species